rnacentral:tRNA from 1 species
GGUGUAGCUCAGUGGAAGAGCACUGGCUUACUAUGCAAGAGGCCCUGGGUUCAGUCCCUGGUACCC